AUUGAACGCUGGCGGCAUGCCUUACACAUGCAAGUCGAACGGCAGCAUGAUCUAGCUUGCUCGAUUGAUGGCGAGUGGCGAACGGGUGAGUAAUACAUCGGAACGUGCCCUGUAGUGGGGGAUAACUAGUCGAAAGAUUAGCUAAUACCGCAUACGACCUGAGGGUGAAAGUGGGGGACCGCAAGGCCUCAUGCUAUAGGAGCGGCCGAUGUCUGAUUAGCUAGUUGGUGAGGUAAAGGCUCACCAAGGCGACGAUCAGUAGCUGGUCUGAGAGGACGAUCAGCCACACUGGGACUGAGACACGGCCCAGACUCCUACGGGAGGCAGCAGUGGGGAAUUUUGGACAAUGGGCGAAAGCCUGAUCCAGCAAUGCCGCGUGUGUGAAGAAGGCCUUCGGGUUGUAAUGCACUUUUGUCCGGAAAGAAAUGGCUCUGGUUAAUACCUGGGGUCGAUGACGGUACCGGAAGAAUAAGGACCGGCUAACUACGUG
rnacentral:rRNA from 1 species